rnacentral:lncRNA from 1 species
UUUUGUUUUUUUAGGGAGCCUAGGAUUCCGUUAUGCUAGUAGGCAAGGUUGAUUAACUAAAUGUAAGUACCAUUUGUACCGACAAACAGAUAAACAAGUUUAGCAGAAACAUAUUCUUGACUGUUUAUCGUACAAGAAUAUGAAUAGUAAGAACUUGAAUGAUGAAGUUCAAUGGUAUGACUAUGAAUAUGAUAGGCAUAAAGCGCCAGAUAAGGAUCUGUUUUUGAAUAUGAUAGGCAUAAAGCGCCAGAUAAGGAUCUGUUUUUGAAUAUGAUAGGCAUAAAGCGCCAGAUAAGGAUCUGUUUUUUUAUUUGAUGGAGUCUUAAGGAUCUGUUAUGCUAGUGGGCAAGAUUUAUUAACUAAUUGCAAGUGUACCAUUUCUACCGAUGAACCAGAUAAAUAAGCAAAGCAUAGUAAACAUGUUCUUGACUGUUUAACAUAGAAAGAGAUGAAUAGUAAGAACUUGAAUAAUGAAAACAGUAGAAGAACUUUCAAUGAACAGUGGAUAUAACAAGGAUCUGUUUUUUUAAGAAGUUUAAAAAAAUGCAUUCUUAUUAGUUAAACAACUUACACAUGCAGGAUGAACCUAAUAAACGGAGAAAGCAUAGUAAAUCUGUUCUUAACAGUUUAACAUGGAAAAAGAUGGACAGCAAGAACUUUAAUAAGGAAAACAUACAUCAGAUCAUUGGAAGAGCUUCGGCUGGGCCAACCUGGCCCGCCGCCUCGCCAGCCCAUGAAGUUCCUUCCAAAUAGUUACGAGUAAAUGGCCCAUUGAUGAGGAACACUAGAUGAGAAGAAAGAAAAACACAUGCCAGAUCUGUUUGGCUACUUCUAGAUGCUUCCACUCUAGUGUAGUAUUUCUUUUGUUUUCUUUACCCUACCCGCUGUUUCUAGAGUUCUCUAGUUAUAAGUAGUUGUGAGUAGAGAGAUGAAUCCUAAAUAAUGUUUUCUAGAGUGUUCCAGCUAUAAGUAGAAGUAUGUGAAGGCUUCCCAAAGUCCUAUAAAUAGAGGUCCUCACCUCUACUUUGUAAACCAGACGAUGUACCCACUACCUAUAAUAGAACUUGUUAUUCUUAUCUAAGAUCUUGGAGUAGAUCUUGUGCUCUAGGAGUUCUGGAUUGAACUCUUGCUGCCAUAUCGGCCUACAUUCGCCUCUAGAGCGAUAUCUAGCGCAGCACGUUGAAGUUGUUCUUUCAACACUUGUGCUGUACACAUUGUAGCAGCAAAGUGGAGUUGCUCCUCCACAACCUUUGUGCUGCUUCACCCAUAGACCCAGUAACCCAAGCCCAAAUCUCGUUUUGUUUGCCCCUACCGAAAAGUGCAGCCCAAGCUCCGCCACUGCAUCAGAUAUCUAUGAAUAGGAGAAAUGCUCUCAGGUUAUAUAUACUCCCUCCAGUUCUUGAAAAGUCAUCGUAUCAGACUUCAAACUUUGUCUGACUAAUUUUUUUAUUAUAUAUAGAUUAGAUAUGUUACCAUAUGCAGGUUAUCUAUAUAUUAAAAAUAGGUGAAGUUAAUCUUUUCAAACUUCCAAAACCUAUAUUUUGUAAUAUAAUUAGAUUUGAUAUGUGAAAACCAUAUGUGCAUGCAACUAGGUUGUCUCAUUAAGUAUUUUGAAAGAAGUGUAAUUUCAGAGUUUUAGAAAAAGAUAUAAUGAAUAUAAGAAGUCAAAGUUGUACUCCCUCCGUUUCUUUUUAGUCCGCAUAUAAGGUUUGGUCAAAGUCAAGCUUUGUAGAGUUUGACUAACUUUAUAUUAGGAAAUAUAAACAAUCACAAUAUGAAAUCAACAUUAUCAGAUGCACCAUGAAACGUAUUUUCAUACUAUAUAGUUUUAGUAUUAUAGAUGUUCAUAUUUUUUUAUAUAAAUUUGGUCAAAUUUUAUGUAGUUUGACUUUGACCAAAUCUUAUAUGCGGAGUAAAAAGAAACGGAGGGAGUAUUUGGAGACUUUUCUGGAGGGAGUAUAGUCGGUUAUCAUUAUUGAGCAUAAGGUCUUAAUCCAAUAACAUGUUCUAUCAGCAUCAAAUCUGUGAAAUCAUUACAUGAUCCGGCUAAAGUAUGAAGGAAAAACUAGUAUGUUCUUUUCAGCAAAGUUACUCCCUCAGAUCCAUAAUAAGUGUCUGCAGUUUUCAACUAAGGUUGAACCUUUAACCUUAGUUGAAAACUGCGACACUUAUUAUGGAUCCGGGGAGUAAUAUUUAAGGUUGAAAGAUAAAUGAUGAACUGGACAAACGAAUAAAGCAUAGAAAAUCUGUUAUCAACAAUUCAACAUAGAAAAGAUGAAUAACUAGAAUUUGUCGGGUCCGUGGAACCCAGGGUAUCCAGGCCCGUCUGCCUUCAGUCCAAGACGCGACGCAUGGCGAGGGCCCAGCAGGAGGCCCACCGGCAGGUACCACGAGCAAGACCCCUCAUGAGGCCCUGGCCACCUAAGGACCCCUCCUCAGGGAGCGGGCAUCUUGAGCAAGACUAUGCGGCUUCACCAAGGGCCUCGCGAGGCGGCCUCCCGAGGCACCCUCCCUGAGGUGUGAUGGUAAAAGGCUGUUCGGCUCGGUCGUGCGGUCUCAGGCCCAUCAUGUGGGUGACACGCGCAGCGCCGAACGGCGGCAGAUGUCGUGCCAGCAGGCGCGGGUGAAGAGGAUUUCCCCUUUUGUGCUAAGAGAGCAAGGCCAGCAAUCCAGUUCCCAAAGCAACCCCUGAAGGAUGCCCGAUUGGUGAAAGAAGACCAAGAUGGCAGGCGCGCAGGGCGGAGGUCAUCCCCGAGCCCACCAGCGCGUCAUGGACGGUAGCUUUGCAGGCGAAGACCGCCUUUUCGUCAGGAUAGAUUGCGCCCCUGUCCCUCUUCAAACUUGCCGUUAUGUGACAGCCCUUCCCGCCAAUGUUUUUGGGGGAAGAGGACCAAGGCAGAUAUAAAAGGAGGGCAGGGUGCCGCUGUAGAGAGGAUCGGCCCCUACACCAAAAACUUUGUACUCUCUCUUCCACUAGAGCAAUCACAGCAGACGUAGGGUUUUACACCGCAAGGUGGCCUGAACCUGGGUAAUCCGCCGUGUCACCGAUCCGUUCCCGCUAGCGCGUUCUCGCCGUAGCUUCGCCGUGGUUUAGCUGGGGUAGAAGGAGGGGUGGUGAGGACGAGCUCACCCCAGUGUUCGAACCUUUGGGUCCCCAGAGCCCGACUUCCAACAUUUGGCGCGCCAGGUAGGGGUGCACUACCAUUUUCCUUGCUCCACCCUUCGCUCCACCAGCUUCAUGACCGACGCCAGUCGCGAGCGCGCCGAACGCAGGGCGGGUCGCGUGGCCCAGACGGAGCCGGCGGGCAGUGGCAACCGCCGCCGCCUUGUCAAGGCCGCAGCCGCUGCCGCCACCGACCCCGUUGCUCGUGAGUAGCCGGACUCCUCCCUACACCCCUCCGUGCAGGCAGACGGCCGCACCGCCACAACAUCUUCCUCCCUCGCCCGCCGUGGGCCGUCGAACGCGCAGGCCGCGCUACUCAUGGCGCAUGAGCUACUCCGCUACUGUCCAGUAGACGCUGGCUACGACGCCUGGCUUGGUCGCAUCACCGAACUCAUCAACGCCUCCGGAGACGCUAUGACGCCUUCCAACUUGCUCCGCCCUCCCCCGUCUCGCGUCGGGGACGUAGCGCCCCCGCCACCUCCUCUACGCGACGAGUUCGCCGGGCCCGGCGUGACGCGCGGGCGCGUGACCCAUCCCGCGGGGCUUCCCCGCCGGUCCAAGGCAAGGCCAGCUACCAGAUCGUCCGCCGCGCGCCGCCUGAUGCGCGUGUGCUCCUCGAGCAGCAAUGCCAGUGCCAAGACCGGAGUCCAAGAGGUCGCGACGGCCGGGCGCCGGAACCGCGCCGCUCUCGCCAAGGUGUUCCCUCGAGCGGUGUGGGCUUCCGAGCCUUCACCGGUGAGCUGCAUCGGGUGGUGUGGCCCGCGAAGUUCAAGCUGGAGCUACCCCCGCGCUACGACGGCACCCCAACCCCGCAUAGUUCCUUCAGCUCUAUGCGCUAAGCAUCGAGGCGGCGAACGACGACGAGAAGGUCAUGGUGAACUGGUUUCCCAUGGCCCUCAAGGACGGCCCGCGCUCCUGGCUCAUGAACCUCCCCGAGGCGUCGGUCUCUUCGUGGAGCGAGUUCUGCGACCAGUUCGUUGCCAACUUCAAGGGCACGCACGACCGCCCCCUCACCAUCAACGACCUACAGCACGUGCGGCAGCGCCCCAACGAGACCCUCCGCAAGUACAUCCAGCGCUUCAGCUAGGCGCGGAACAAGAUUCUGCGUGCCUCCGACGCGGCUGUAAUCUCUGUGUUCUCCACCGGCGUCGCGGACGUCAGGAUGCGCGAGAAGCUCGUCAUCAACGACGAGUUGGACUCGAUGCUCGAGCUGUUCGACCUCGCCGACAAGUGCGCCAAGGCUGAAGAAGGCCGCCUCUUCAUCCACAACGACCUUGACGCGGCGCUCGGCGCCGCCAAGGCCAAGAGUAAGGACGUCAAGCGCAAGGGCCCUGUUGUGCUUGCGGCAGAGCAUGAGCAGAAGCGCGUCCACGACCGCGAUGAACACGGGAAUGACAGCCACCCACUUUGCAUCUACCACAGCAUGCGCUCCCACAACACUGAAGACUGCCAUGAGCUCAAGCUGCUCUGCGACGAGCACCUGGGCCGCCAAGCCGACCGCAACGACCGCGGCGCCGGCCGCAGAGGUGGCCGUGGCGGCAACCGUUGGGACAGCCGCAACGGCAACUCCCGCCAGGGCUGGUGCGACCAGCCUCGUGAGGGCGCCUGGCGCGACCAGCCUCGCGAGGCAAAUCCUCGGGCCAACGCCGCUCUCCCGCCGCUGCCACCACCACCUCGGAGGAAAGACGUCAACUAGCUCGACAAGGGUGCCGGGGGCUACCAGGAGCCUCACGCAGUUGCCUGCAUCUUGGCGGAGUUCAGGCGUCCGCGUCCAACCGACACUUCAAGCGGUCCUCCCGCAAGGUGAACGCAGCUCUCCCGAAGCCUGAGGCCCCUCAAGUGGUCGCAGUACGCCAUCACCUUCGACUCCAAGGACCACCCCAAGUCCACGGCCGCCGCGGGCGCGCUCCCCAUGUUGUGCACUCCUAUCAGCAACGUCGCGGUCACCAAGGCCCUCAUCGACGGAGGUGCCGGCCUCAACGUGAUCGCCAUCGGGACCUUCGAGACGCUCCAAGUGCCCUACGACCAACUGAUGCCGACUCAGCCCUUCUCCGGAGUGACUGAUGGCUCUACCAUCCCCCUGGGGCAAAGUGCGCCUCCCUGUCACCUUCGGCACCCGCAAGAACUACCACACUGAGCUCGUCGACUUAGACGUGGUGCACAUUGGCCUGCCGUACAACGCCAUCUUGGGGUACCCGACUCUAGCCAAGUUCAUGGCAGCGACCCACCACGCCUACAACGUCCUCAAGAUGCCUGGCUGCAGCGGCAUCAUCACCGUCACCUGCGACGAAAAGGACGUGAUCCGCUCCCUCGAGCACGCCUACAAGGCCGCCGCAGCCAGGCAUCCGGCUGGCGAGGAUGCGGUUGAGCCCCCUGAGACCACGCCCGCGAAGAAGAAGCAGUUGUUCUCUCGUCGCCUUCCUUCGGGCAAACUCGGAUGUUUCCGCCUAGAAAGCAUCUGAUUUGUCCGAUGUACCGAGGGAGGUGAUCGAGCACCACUUAGAGGUGUGGUCCAAUGCACACCCCAUCAAGCAAAAAGCACGGCGCCAGGCACCCGAGAAGCAUGAUUUCACGUCCAAGAGGUACGCAAACUGCAAGAAGAUGGAGUCAUCCGUGAGGUGCGUCACCCCGAGUGGCUCGCCAACCCAGUCGUCGUCCUCAAGAAGGGCGGCAAGGAGCAUAUGUGCGUCGACUUCACGAGCCUCAACAAGGCCUGCCCUCAGGAUCCCUUCACGCUGCCGCGCAUCGACCAGGGCGCGGGCUCCGCCACCAACGGCUCCCGCAUGCCCUUCGGCCUGAGGAACACCGGCGCCACCUACCAGAUGCUAGCACCCAUCGUGCCGGGGCCUCGCGAGCCCCCCGGACGUCAGGAGCCCCUCAGCCCUUGAAGGACGAGCUUCCGCGGCACACCUCACCAAGCGAGCUGACGCCCCUACAUCUCAGUGCUGCCAGGUGAGGGCGUCUCACGGGCUGCACCAACCUCAAGCUGCUCCGUGCCGGACACGGCAGCCGCAUCUCUUUUUGGUUGUGUAAUGAAUCUUGCUAAUUAUGCUCUGAUAAGCUUAUGUUGCCUACAUAAUUGUGUACUUGGUAUAACGCCAUCUCGAGAGCGCGGCGCGCACACAACCCCUCUCCUGACUGUUCCAUUAGCGGGGGCUAGACACGGCGCACGUGCUCGGGUCCAUCCCUGCAGCGCGCCGCAAAACCUAAGGGACCGAGCUCUGGCUCGCGGGCCUGCUCCCGUGCACGUCACCUCACCAAGGUCCUUGGUGCCUUAUCUCCUCAAGCAACGGCCAUGAGCGAGUUGUUGAGUGCGCGCCGCUCCCCUAUUGUGAGAUUUAUCGACAUGCAGUUACCUCAGGAGCCAGCCGCUCGGAAGCCCCGCGGAUGGCAUCUCGUGAGCCAGCCGGUGACGGUCGCCUAAUCGGAAGGCCUCAUGAGAAGGACACUUUGAGGGCUGAGCCUCAAGAGGCACGCCUCGCGUGCCGCGUGAACUCGCGAGCUCACCCGAUGCCGCUCCCCGCAAAAGCUAAGUCUAACCACCUCGCAAGACGCCGCCAUCAUCAUUCGAAUUCCCUUCUUUCGCAAUCUCGCUAAGCGCUGGCGUUUUUUCCUUCACGCGAGCCACUUGCACGUCAAAGGGGGGCUCCUUGAGCAUCGUGCCUCAAGAGCCCUCACUAGUACCCGGUGCCCCUCACCUCCUGGCCUUGUCCAGGCAUCGCGACCUAGCAUACCAGCGACGGUUGAGGCCCGCUCGGGGGCUGAGUCCUAACGACGUAGAGCACAUAGGCGAGCAAGAAAAAAAGCCUCGCAAGAGGGCUUGAGGAGGGAACAAACAUUCCAAACCGCAAGAGCAUUAAAUUUAAACAUAGAAAUCACCGUUCACACCCUCAUAGGGCUACAUCGAUCCAGUGCAGGAGAAAAGGAAAAGGAAGAAAGAGACCUGGGCAGAGUGCCGUCCGCGCCUAGUCGGAGUCUUCAUCUCGCCCUUGACGCGGGGGGAGCUGUCGUCGCCCCCAAUUCCGCCAGAGGGGGUGGCACCGCUGUCGCUGUCGUCCUUGCUGGAGGAGCCACUGUAGGUGCCAUCCUCGUUCUCCGCGCAGCAUUCUAGACGGUUGCCAGUGAUCCCGAAGAUCUCCACGAAGAGCGCGGCGACCCCGUCAUACUUGAACUUGAGAACGUGGCCCUACUUCAUGCCACGGGCGAGGGCGAACGACUUCCACCCCGGCUUCAAGAAAAUGAAGCCCGUGGGGGUGAACUCCGUUGCCACCCAGGAGGGGCCAUUGCAGUAGCCGUCCGCCUGCAUCCACAGGCCCAAGGGCGCGCGGUCCGCCAUUGCCUCCGCGAAGGAGUCCGAAAGCCGGAGCCAGGUGUAGGGCCGGCGAUGCAUGUUCACUAUGAACUCAUGAGCCGCCUCAGCGGAGUGGCUCCCUGCCUGGGGGGUAGAGCGGCGGCCCCGUCGCGACCACCUCGGCCGCGGGCGCCGCGCCCUCCGCACCCGCGAACAACACCCCUUCCAUGGCCGCUGGGACCGGCACCGACAGCGAUCAGAGAUUGCCCGCGCCCCCGAGGCGGAACCCUGGAUGUAGCAGCAGAAGCGCGAGCUCGGCCUCUUCCCCUCGCCAUCGCCGCCGAGGUUCACCUGGAUCGUGGAGUAAAAAGAGGAGCUGAAGGGAGAAGAUGGGCGGGGAAGUCCUUUCACCCUCGCCUUUAUAGAUCUCGAGGGGGGCCAAACGGAACGAAAAGGGUUUUCCAUGAGAUGGUAAAUGAAAGAGGCGCGGUCCACGCCCUUCCACCUUCGACAGACGCAUGAAGACAGCGGCACGCAAGGAAGGCAAUGAUGGUCUCGCGCCGUGGGCAGGCAGGCUUUAUGUCAGCGCGGGCGGUCACCGAGGCGUUGUGGGAGAAGUGGGGGCGUCCCCCAUCACAUCAGGCGCCACGCGUCGCGCCUGGCCUGCAAGCGGUUAGGGCCCGCGCCAUUUCGCCCCCGAAUAGGCGGGAACGUGCACGCCACGGGCCCGGGGGCUACUGUCGGGUCCGUGGAACCCACGGUAUCCAAGCCCGUCUGCCUUCGGCCCGAGACGCGGUGCAUGGCGAGGGCCCAGCAGGAGGCCCACCGGGAGGCACCACGAGAAAGAUCCCUCAUGAGGCCCUGGCCACCUGAGGACCCCUCCUCAAGGGGCAAGCAUCUCAAGCAAGACUCGGCGGCUUCACCAAGAGCCUCGCGAGGCCCUCUCACGAGGCCCUCUCACGAGGCGGCCUCCCGAGGUUGCCUCCCAAGGCACCCUCCCUGAGGCGUGAUGGUAAAAGGUUGUUCUGCUCGGUCGCGCGAUCUCAAGCCCAUCACAUGGGUGACGCGCGUGGCGACGAACGGUGAGGCCGUGGCCGUGCCAGCAGGCGCGGGUGAAGAGUAUUCCCCCUUUUGUGCUAAGGGAGCAUGGCCAGCAAUCCAGUUCCCAAAGCAACCCCUGAAGGUUGCCCGAUCGAUGAAAGAAGACCAAGACGGCGGGCACGCAGGGCGGAGGUCAUCCCCGAGCCCACCGGCGCGCCAUGGACGGUAGCUUUGCAGGCGAAGACCGCCUUUUCGUCAGGAUAGACUACGCCCCUCUCCCCCUUCAAACUUGCCGUUGUGUGGCAACCCUUCCCGCCAAUGUUUUCGGGGGAAGAGGACCAAGGCAGAUAUAAAAGGAGGGAAAGGUGCCGCUGUAGAGAGGAUCGCCCCCUACAACAAAAACCUUGUACUCUCUCUUCAACCAGAGCAAUCACAGCCAAGCAGGACGUAGGGUUUUACACCGCAAGGUGGCCUGAACUAGGUAAUCCGCCGUGUCACCGAUCCGUUCCCGCUAGCGGGCUCUCGCCGUAGCUUCGCCGUGGUUUAGCUAGGGUAGAAGGUGGGGUGGUGAGGACGAGCUCAACAAUGUUCGAACCUUUGGGUCCCCGGAGCCCGACUUCCGACAGAAUUUGAACAGUGAACAAAUUAAUUCAAUGGUAUGAUCAUGGAUAUGACAGGCACAAAGCACAACAAGUACAAUUAAUGAGCAGUCAAUAUAAGGACACCGGAUUUUUUUUUAGGUAAUCUCAGAAUUUGUAUUGCUAGUGUGCAUGAUUGAUUAGCCAAUUGCAAGUGUACCAUGUUCUUUUUUCUGUUUUAUGCAUAUCAGCUCAGAUAAGAUAGCAUUGCCGCUUAAAUAAAUAGAGCGCCACAAGUACAUCAAAUAGAUUAAAUGAAAGGAUUAGAAAGAAUGCUCUCAGGUUAUAUACUCCCUUCUUCUGGUUCUUAAAAAGUCAUCAAUAUAGAAAUAAGUGCAGUAAAUUUCCGAAACUUUGAGUAGCUAAAGUUUUGAGUUCAAACUCAAUUUUGUAACUAUAUGUAGAUUGGAUACCUGAAAAUCAUAUGUGUAGGUGGUCUCAGAAAGUAUUUUUGAAGAAGUUUUAAUUUCAAAGUGUUUUAUGAAAAUAUAUAAAGAAACAAAUAACGGAAAAUAAGCAGUCAAAGUUGUAUUUUGAAGACUUUUCAAGAACCGGAGGGAGUAUAUUUGGUAAUCAUCAUUGAGCAUAAGGUCUAAUCUAUAAAAUGUUCUAUCUGCAUAUAAGUAAAUAUCUGAAAUCAUUACAUGAUCCAGCUAAGUAUCAAAGAAAAACUAUGUUCUUUUCAGUAAUAUAACUAUAUUUAAGGUUGGAAGAUAAACGAUGAACUAGAUAAAUCAAUAAAGCAUAGAAAAUCUUUUAUUAGCAAUUUAACAUAGAAAAGAUGAAUGACAAGAAUUUGCACGACGAACAGAUUAAUUCAUUGGUAUGGUCGUGGAUAUGAUAGGCACAAAGCACAACAAGUACAAUCGAGCAGUCUAUAUAAGGACACAUUAUUAUUUUAGGUAAGCUCAGAACUUGUACUGCUAGUGUGCAGGAUUGGUUAACCAGAAGUGUACCAUGUGUUUUUUUUCUGUUUAUGCAUAUCAGAUCAGAUAAGAUAACAUUACCGCUUAAAUAAAUAGAGCACCACAAGUACAUUAUUAAAUGAAAGGAGUAGAAAGCAUGCUCUCAGGUUAUAUACUCCCUUCUUCUGGUUCUUGAAAAGUCAUCAAUAUAGAAAUACUUGCAGUAAAUUUCUCAAACUUUGAGUAGCUAAAAAUUUAAAUUCAAACUCUUUUUUUUUAAUAUAUGUAGAUUGGAUACAUGAUAACCACAUGUGUAGGUUGUCUCAUAAAGUAGUUUUAAAAAAGUAUUAAUUUGUGAAAAUGUAAAAAGAAGAAACAGAUAUAAGCAGUCAGAGUUGUAUUUUGAAGACUUUUCAAGAACUGGAGAGAGUACAGUCGGUUAUCAUCAUUGAGCAUAAUGUCUAAUCUAGUAACAUGUUCUAUCAGCAUAUAAGUAAAUAUCUGAAAUCAUUACAUGAUCCAGCUAAGUAUCAAGAAAAUACUAUGUUCUUUUCAGUAAAAUAACUAAUAUUUAAGGUUGGAAGAUAAACUAUGUACUAGAUAAAUCAAUAAAGCAUUGAAAAUCUGUUAUUAACUAUUAAGAUAGAAAAGAUGAAUAACAAGUAUUUGAACAACGAACAGAUUAAUUCAAUGGUAUUAUUAUGGAUAUGAUAGACACAAAGCACACCAAGUACAAUCAAUAAGCAGUCGAUAUAAGGGCACACUAUUUUUUAGUUAAUCUCAGAAUCUGUAUUGCUAGUGUGCAGGAUUGAUUAACAAAAUCCAAGUGUACAAUGUUUUUUUUCUUCUGUUUUAUGCAUAUCAGUUCAGAUAAGAUAGCAUCACCGCUUAAACAAAUAUAGCACCACAGGUGCAUCAAAUAAAUUUAAUGAAAGGAGUAGAAAGAAUGCUCUCAGGUUAUAUACUCCCUUCUUCUGGUUCUUGAAAAGUCAUUAACAUAGAAAUAUGUGCAACUAAUUUCUCAAACUUUGAGUAGCUAAAAUUUUAAAUUCAAACUGAUUUUCUAACAUAUGUAGAUUGGAUACAUGAAAACCAUAUGUGUAGGUUGUUUCAUAAAGUAUUUUCGCAAAAGUAUAAUUUCAAAGAGUUUUAUGAAAAUAUAUAAAGAAAAAAUAUCUAGCGAAAAACAAGCAAUCAAUGUUGUAUUUUGAAGACUUUUCAAGAACCUGAGGGAGUAAAUUCGGUUAUCAUCAUUGAGCAUAAGGUCUAAUCUAAUAACAUGUUCUAUCAGCAUACAAGUAAAUAUCUGAAAUCAUUACAGGAUCCAGCUAAGUAUCAAGGAUAAAAAAAUAUUUUCGGUAAAAUAACUAAUAUAUAAGGUUGGAAGAUAAACAACGAACUAGAUGAACCAAUAAAGCAUAGUAUAUCUGUCAGUAACAAUUUAAUAUAGAAAAGAUGCAUAACAAGAACUUGAAUAAUGAAAAACAGACAAAAUUCAACGGUAUGACAAUGAAUAUGAUGGGCAUAAAGCCCCAAGUACUAUCAAUAAACAGUUGACAUAAGGAUCUGUGUAUGUGUGUGUGUGUUUAGGGAGUCUAAGAGUUUGUUGUGCUAGUGGGCAAGAUUCAUAACUAAAUGCAAGUGUAUCAUUUUUUCUACCAAUGAACCAGGUAAACAAGUAAAGGAUAAUAAACAUGUUCUUGACUGUUAAAACAUAGAAAAAGUUGAAAAUAAUGCAAACAGAUUAAGCACCACAACUACUAUCAAUGAACAGGGAACAUAAUAAGGAACUUUCUUUUUUCUUUUUUGAGGGAGUCUAAGGAUCUAAAUGACCUUUUUUAACUAAUUGCAAGUGGGCAAAAUUGAUUAACUAAUUGCAUGUGUAACAUGUUUUACUGUUAUAUGCAUAUAUCAGGUUCAGAUAUUUGGCACUAAAUGCAAGUGUAUCAUUUCUACCAACGAAACAAAUAAACAAGUUUAGCAUAGUAUAAAUGUGUUCUUCACUGUUUACAACACAGAAAAAGAUGAAUAGUAAGAACUUGAAUAAUGAAAACAGACUAAGUUCAAUGGUAUGACUAUGAACACGCAUAAAGCACCAGAAGUACUAUCAAUGAACAGGGGAUAUAAUAAGGAUCUGUUUUUUUUUUCAUUUUCGUUUUUUGAGGGGGUCUAAAGAUCUGUUAUGCAAGUGUAACAUUUUUUUAACUAAUUGCAAGAGGGCAAGAUUGAAAUGAAUAACUAAUUGUAAGUGUAACAACUUUUACUGUUGUAUGCAUAUAUCAGGUUCAGAUAUUUGGCAAUGAAAUAAAUACUAGAGCAUCAUGCUUAACCAAUAGUAAAAUGAGAAGGGAAGACACAGGGUUACCGAGGCGGGGAGAAGUGAUGGGACGAAAACUCAAGAACCAGAGGGAGUACAUUCGGUUAUCAUCAUUGAGCAUAAGAUCUAAUCUAAUACGUAACAUGUUCUAUCAGCAUGUAAGCAAAUCUCUGGCUAAGUAUCAAGAAUAAAGAAAUAUUCUUUUUGGUAAAAUAACUAAUAUUUAAGGUAUAGGAAGAUAAACAAAAAACUGUAUAAACCAAUAAAGUAUAGUAAAUCUGUUAUUAAACAAUUUAACAUAGAAAAGAUGAAUAACAAGAACUUGAAUCAUGAAAAUAAGACUAAAUUGAAAGGUAUAACCGUAUGAGUGUGCCAAUUAAUAUGAUAAGCAUAAGGCAGCAGAGGUACUAUCAAUGAACAGUUGACAUAAGGACCCUUUUUUUUGUUUUUUGUCUUUUUAGAAAGUCUACUAAGAAUCUGGUGUGCUAGUAGGCAAGAUAGAAUAACUAAAUGCAAGUGCACCAUUUCUACCAACGAAAUAGAUAAACAAGUUUAGCAUAGUAAACAUGGUCUUGACUGUUUCACAUAGAAAAAUAUGAAUAGUAAGAACUUGAAUAAUGAAAACAGAUUACCAUUGAACAUGACUGUUUAGCAUAAUAAACGUGGUCUUGAAUUUUUACCACUAAACUUGAAUAAUAAGUUCAAUGGUAUGACUAUGAAUACGCAUAAAGCACCAGAAGUACUAUCAAUGAACAGGGGACAUAAUAAAGAUCUGUGUUUUUUUCUUGUUCGCUUUUUGAGGAGUCCAAGGAUCCGUUAUGCAAGUGUAACAUUUUUUUAGCUAAUUGCAAGUGGGCAAGUUUGAUUAACUAAUCACAAGUGUAAUAUUUUUUGAAACUAAUUGCAAGUGGGCAAGGUUGAUUAACUAAUUGCAAUUGUAACAUUUUUUACUGUUAUAUAUGCGUAUAUCAG